GGGUUGUGAGGUUAAGCGACUAAGCGUACACGGUGGAUGCCCUGGCAGUCAGAGGCGAUGAAGGACGUGCUAAUCUGCGAUAAGCGUCGGUAAGGUGAUAUGAACCGUUAUAACCGGCGAUUUCCGAAUGGGGAAACCCAGUGUGUUUCGACACACUAUCAUUAACUGAAUCCAUAGGUUAAUGAGGCGAACCGGGGGAACUGAAACAUCUAAGUACCCCGAGGAAAAGAAAUCAACCGAGAUUCCCCCAGUAGCGGCGAGCGAACGGGGAGCAGCCCAGAGCCUGAAUCAGUGUGUGUGUUAGUGGAAGCGUCUGGAAAGGCGCGCGAUACAGGGUGACAGCCCCGUACACAAAAAUGCACAUAUUGUGAGCUCGAUGAGUAGGGCGGGACACGUGGUAUCCUGUCUGAAUAUGGGGGGACCAUCCUCCAAGGCUAAAUACUCCUGACUGACCGAUAGUGAACCAGUACCGUGAGGGAAAGGCGAAAAGAACCCCGGCGAGGGGAGUGAAAAAGAACCUGAAACCGUGUACGUACAAGCAGUGGGAGCACGCUUAGGCGUGUGACUGCGUACCUUUUGUAUAAUGGGUCAGCGACUUAUAUUCUGUAGCAAGGUUAACCGAAUAGGGGAGCCGAAGGGAAACCGAGUCUUAACUGGGCGUUAAGUUGCAGGGUAUAGACCCGAAACCCGGUGAUCUAGCCAUGGGCAGGUUGAAGGUUGGGUAACACUAACUGGAGGACCGAACCGACUAAUGUUGAAAAAUUAGCGGAUGACUUGUGGCUGGGGGUGAAAGGCCAAUCAAACCGGGAGAUAGCUGGUUCUCCCCGAAAGCUAUUUAGGUAGCGCCUCGUGAAUUCAUCUCCGGGGGUAGAGCACUGUUUCGGCAAGGGGGUCAUCCCGACUUACCAACCCGAUGCAAACUGCGAAUACCGGAGAAUGUUAUCACGGGAGACACACGGCGGGUGCUAACGUCCGUCGUGAAGAGGGAAACAACCCAGACCGCCAGCUAAGGUCCCAAAGUCAUGGUUAAGUGGGAAACGAUGUGGGAAGGCCCAGACAGCCAGGAUGUUGGCUUAGAAGCAGCCAUCAUUUAAAGAAAGCGUAAUAGCUCACUGGUCGAGUCGGCCUGCGCGGAAGAUGUAACGGGGCUAAACCAUGCACCGAAGCUGCGGCAGCGACACUAUGUGUUGUUGGGUAGGGGAGCGUUCUGUAAGCCUGUGAAGGUGUACUGUGAGGUAUGCUGGAGGUAUCAGAAGUGCGAAUGCUGACAUAAGUAACGAUAAAGCGGGUGAAAAGCCCGCUCGCCGGAAGACCAAGGGUUCCUGUCCAACGUUAAUCGGGGCAGGGUGAGUCGACCCCUAAGGCGAGGCCGAAAGGCGUAGUCGAUGGGAAACAGGUUAAUAUUCCUGUACUUGGUGUUACUGCGAAGGGGGGACGGAGAAGGCUAUGUUGGCCGGGCGACGGUUGUCCCGGUUUAAGCGUGUAGGCUGGUUUUCCAGGCAAAUCCGGAAAAUCAAGGCUGAGGCGUGAUGACGAGGCACUACGGUGCUGAAGCAACAAAUGCCCUGCUUCCAGGAAAAGCCUCUAAGCAUCAGGUAACAUCAAAUCGUACCCCAAACCGACACAGGUGGUCAGGUAGAGAAUACCAAGGCGCUUGAGAGAACUCGGGUGAAGGAACUAGGCAAAAUGGUGCCGUAACUUCGGGAGAAGGCACGCUGAUAUGUAGGUGAAGCGACUUGCUCGUGGAGCUGAAAUCAGUCGAAGAUACCAGCUGGCUGCAACUGUUUAUUAAAAACACAGCACUGUGCAAACACGAAAGUGGACGUAUACGGUGUGACGCCUGCCCGGUGCCGGAAGGUUAAUUGAUGGGGUCAGCGCAAGCGAAGCUCUUGAUCGAAGCCCCGGUAAACGGCGGCCGUAACUAUAACGGUCCUAAGGUAGCGAAAUUCCUUGUCGGGUAAGUUCCGACCUGCACGAAUGGCGUAAUGAUGGCCAGGCUGUCUCCACCCGAGACUCAGUGAAAUUGAACUCGCUGUGAAGAUGCAGUGUACCCGCGGCAAGACGGAAAGACCCCGUGAACCUUUACUAUAGCUUGACACUGAACAUUGAGCCUUGAUGUGUAGGAUAGGUGGGAGGCUUUGAAGUGUGGACGCCAGUCUGCAUGGAGCCGACCUUGAAAUACCACCCUUUAAUGUUUGAUGUUCUAACGUUGACCCGUAAUCCGGGUUGCGGACAGUGUCUGGUGGGUAGUUUGACUGGGGCGGUCUCCUCCUAAAGAGUAACGGAGGAGCACGAAGGUUGGCUAAUCCUGGUCGGACAUCAGGAGGUUAGUGCAAUGGCAUAAGCCAGCUUGACUGCGAGCGUGACGGCGCGAGCAGGUGCGAAAGCAGGUCAUAGUGAUCCGGUGGUUCUGAAUGGAAGGGCCAUCGCUCAACGGAUAAAAGGUACUCCGGGGAUAACAGGCUGAUACCGCCCAAGAGUUCAUAUCGACGGCGGUGUUUGGCACCUCGAUGUCGGCUCAUCACAUCCUGGGGCUGAAGUAGGUCCCAAGGGUAUGGCUGUUCGCCAUUUAAAGUGGUACGCGAGCUGGGUUUAGAACGUCGUGAGACAGUUCGGUCCCUAUCUGCCGUGGGCGCUGGAGAACUGAGGGGGGCUGCUCCUAGUACGAGAGGACCGGAGUGGACGCAUCACUGGUGUUCGGGUUGUCAUGCCAAUGGCACUGCCCGGUAGCUAAAUGCGGAAGAGAUAAGUGCUGAAAGCAUCUAAGCACGAAACUUGCCCCGAGAUGAGUUCUCCCUGACCCUUUAAGGGUCCUGAAGGAACGUUGAAGACGACGACGUUGAUAGGCCGGGUGUGUAAGCGCAGCGAUGCGUUGAGCUAACCGGUACUAAUGAACCGUGAGGCUUAACCUUACAACGCCGAAGCUGUU
rnacentral:rRNA from 1 species